ACUAAUCUCUUCUCUUCUUCUUCUUUAAUGAGUUUUCCUGCGCCUUCCAUUGUAUAGCGUGGACUGAUCCACGUCAGUCCACGUUAUACAAUUUAAUUUUUUUUUUUAAAGUUUUUGGUGAUUGCUCUGACAACUGGAAAAAAAAAUUGGGGUAUAACGUGGAUCAGUCCACGUUAUACCCGUUUUGGCGAAUCGUAUUAAUUUACCAUAUGAUAGAACACGGGAGCUGAUAUUAAAAAAGGACUGGUGUAAGUUAACUGAGUGUGAUCAGCUCAGCAAAGAGUUCAAGAAAGGUCGUGCAUUUGAUGGGUGCAAUAAAAUAUGUAAUCCCACAAAUUUUACAAUCAGAGAUAGAGAUAAAAUCAGAGUCCGGAGCCAAAAUGGCUUGUUUUUGGAGCUAAUAGCCCAAAA